rnacentral:rRNA from 1 species
UACAGAGGGGGCAAGCGUUGUUCGGAAUUACUGGGCGUAAAGGGUGCGUAGGCGGCCUUCUAAGUCGAACGUGAAAUCCCCGGGCUCAACCCGGGAACUGCGUCCGAUACUGGAAGGCUUGAAUCCGGGAGAGGGAUGCGGAAUUCCAGGUGUAGCGGUGAAAUGCGUAGAUAUCUGGAGGAACACCGGUGGCGAAGGCGGCAUCCUGGACCGGCAUUGACGCUGAGGCGCGAAAGCCAGGGGAGCAAACGGG